rnacentral:rRNA from 1 species
GCAGCCAUGCCGCGUGUGUGAAGAAGGCCUUCGGGUUUGUAAAGCACUUUCAGUCGGUGAGGAANGNGNUGUAGUUAAUACCUGCAUUAUUUGACGUUACCAACAGAAGAAGCACCGGCUAACUCCGUGCCAGCAGCCGCGGUAAUACGGAGGGUGCGAGCGUUAAUCGGAAUUACUGGGCGUAAAGCGCAUGCAGGUGGUUUGUUAAGUCAGAUGUGAAAGCCCNGGGCUCAACUCGGAAUUGCAUUUAAACUGGCAAACAAGUCUGUAGAGGGGGGUAGAAUUCAGGUGUACGGUGAAAUGCUAAGAUCUGAAGGAAUACCGGUGGCGAAGGCCCCCCCUGACAAACUGCCUC